ACGACAGUGGUGGGUACAUCUCCUUGUCUUUUCUUUUGCCUGAAUUGUAGUUACUAGAUGAUUUGGCAUCCUCAUCUAAUGUCUAGUGUGCUUCUGUCUCUUCACUCCUCCAAGCUUCCUGCCCAGUUAGUUUGACUAUUUUCCUCACUGCUUCCAACAACCAAGAAAAUUGGUUGAUACCAAUGUUCUCCAAAUAAACUUUGUAAUUUGCCACGAUGUUGCUGAUGCAAAUUUUGACAAGCGCUUCUUUAUCGUUCUCAUCAUAGCAGUCUAGAGCCAGGUCCCGGAACCUGGGCACGAAGUCCAUGGGAUCUUCCCCAUGUUUUUGGCGAGUGUUCUUGAGUUGAGUGGUAGUAACUCUUUCCUCAUGCUGGAAGUAUUUCUUACAGAACUUGUUUGCCAAAUCUUCCUAAGAGUGAAUGGAGCCUAGUGCCAAUGUUGUGUACCACGUAUAAGCACGAUCGGUAAGCCUUUUUGAAAACUCUCGGAGUCGGAGAUUAUAAUCACCAGCAUGUGGUCCCAAAGCGUCAAUGAAUCAGUUGACAUACUUUUUUGGUGCCUUAUAGCCUUUAGGAUACGGUUGCUAGAGUAAGUUUGAUGGAUACGGUGGCUGAGG
rnacentral:lncRNA from 1 species